CAAGCUCAGCGUGACUUGGCCAGCCGGCCAGGUCAGGUGGGACUGGGUCCUCUUCCCCCAAGGACCACCAGCAGACCUAUAUCCUAUGUGAUGCCCAAGCAGCACAUCCUGCAUGUCCUUCAGCCCUGCCUUCAGCUCGCACCCCGGCACGACGAUCCUCUGCAGUGACCCCUCAUGCCUUGCAGGGCCCCACGGCACUGGUGGCAGAGAGCAGCCCGUGGCCCUGCUCCCCACCCAGGGGCCAGCAGUACCUGCAGGACUACGGGACCUGGAGUACAGAAGGACGCCCUGAGCUCUGCAUCUCUACUCAGCAAUGCUGUUGCUAAGCGACAGGCCCAGCAAAUCCCCUACUGAUGCAACUGCUGGAUUGCUGAGAACUUUCAGAGCAGGACAUCGGGCUGCCAGGAGGAUGACACUGCAGGGCUGUUUGUUGGGAAGAAAAGCUCUGCAUCUUUGUUUUCAGCAGCCUUUCUACUGGGAUGAAACUAUUAAUCAAACAGCAACUGAACUAAAUUAAGCCCACCUAAUACAGACAGCCCUAUGUCAGAUGGAGGACGCAGUGCCACAGGACAGGUCUCUGUCCACCUGUCCUGCUGCCCAGCCCCGUCUAACACCACACUAGUGGCCACGUGCAUGCGGAGUGAAGAACACAAAUUUUGACAUCCAUGUCAAACAGGAGGAUCUAAUGGGCUCAGCUGGCCAAAUUCGGGUUCAUCCAGACUGUAAUUCUGAAUAAAACAUUCUCAAUGAUAAAAUGGCUCUGAUGG
rnacentral:lncRNA from 1 species